rnacentral:rRNA from 1 species
UUUGGAAGGGGAAACCCCGGGAACUGGGGAUAAUACCCCAUAGACUAUAGAUGCUGGAAUGCUUUGUAGUUGAAAGGUCCGCCGCCAUAGGAUGGGUCUGCGGCCGAUUAGGUUGUUGUUGGGGUAACGGCCCAACAAGCCUGUAAUCGGUACGGGUUGUGGGAGCAAGAGCCCGGAGAUGGAUUCUGAGACACGAAUCCAGGCCCUACGGGGCGCAGCAGGCGCGAAAACUUUACAAUGCGGGAAACCGUGAUAAGGGAACUCCGAGUGCCCGUAAAAUCGGGCUGUCCAUCUGUUUAAAUAACAGGUGAAGAAAGGGCCGGGCAAGACCGGUGCCAGCCGCCGCGGUAAUACCGGCGGCUCGAGUGGUGGCCACUAUUACUGGGCUUAAAGCGUUCGUAGCUGGUCUGUUAAGUCUCUGGGGAAAUCUACUGGCUUAACCAAUAGGCGUCUCAGGGAUACUGGCAGACUAGGGACCGGGAGAGGUGAGAGGUACUCCAGGGGUAGGAGUGAAAUCCUGUAAUCCUUGGGGGACCACCUGUGGCGAAGGCGUCUCACCAGAACGGCUCCGACAGUGAGGGACGAAAGCUGGGGGAGCAAACCGGAUUAGAUACCCGGGUAGUCCCAGCCGUAAACGAUGCGCGUUAGGUGUAUCGGUGACCACGAGUCACCGAGGUGCCGAAGAGAAAUCGUGAAACGUGCCGCCUGGGAAGUACGGUCGCAAGGCUGAAACUUAAAGGAAUUGGCGGGGGAGCAC